UACGGAGGGAGCAAGCGUUACUCGGAAUUAUUGGGCGUAAAGGGCGCGUAGGCGAUCUGACAAGUCUGGUGUGAAAGCCCACAUGUUAACUGUGGAAGUGCAUUAGAAACUGUUGGAUUUGAGUUCAGGAGAGGAAGGCAGAAUUCCCGGUGUAGCGGUGAAAUGCGUAGAGAUCGGGAGGAAUACCAGUGGCGAAGGCGGCCUCCUGGACUGUCACUGACGCUGAGGCGCGAAAGCCAGGGGAGCAAACGGG
rnacentral:rRNA from 1 species